rnacentral:rRNA from 1 species
UUCGUAGGCGGUGCGGCAAGUCGGAAGUGAAAUCUCUGGGCUUAACUCAGAGGCUGCUCCCGAAACUGCCGUGCUCGAGUGCGGGAGAGGCGAGUGGAAUUACAGGUGUAGCGGUGAAAUGCGUAGAUAUCUGUAGGGACACCCGUGGCGAAGGCGGCUCGCUGGACCGCAACUGACGCUGAGGAACGAAAGCUAGGGGAGCAAACAGGAUUAGAUACCCUGGUAGUCCUAGCCCUAAACGAUCAGGACUUGGGGUGCAUCCCGUUGGGGGUGCGUCCCGGAGCUAACGCGUUAAGUCCUGCGCCUGGGGAGUACGGUCGCAAGGCUGGA